CUGGAGAAGCUACUGGUUUUUGAUGGGCAGGAGCCGAGACUGUUAACAGUGGUCAGUCACAUCCCAGUGGAGAAUGUGCAGGAAACACUCAGUGGGAAAGGAUGCUCGGGAUUUAACUCCUCGGAAGAGUAGCAGUCCCCACGAGAUUGGACAGCUUGAGUAAAUAAGGGAAGAGAAGAGUUGCUGGCAGAGAAUUGGUGAGACCAGAGAACUAGGAGAGGGCCGAGCACUUCCGGAAGGACAUCACCAGCACGGGGGACUGCAGAGAAGAGGCCUAAAGGCAGGCUGCUUCCAGAGCCAGUGACUUCAGGACAGCGGUAGGGUGGAGGCCAGAGACAGGCAGUGGAGCUGCAGAAGGAAGGAGGCGACUGCCUGUAUCUGUCGUAGCUGUCUCUGCCGUACGCUCCAUCAAGGUGGGAUCCUCAUUCAAGUGUGGGCCCUUCACUGUACCAGAGAUAGUGCCAACUGGACCGGCAGGUGAUCGGCUCUGCUCCUGGAGUGAAUGAGUGACCCACGGUGAGACCAUGAAGAAAGCUUCCUGGUUUGCAGACUGGUCAGUUGGCAGACAAUUAGUGAAACUCUUCAGAAAGAGGUGUGAUGGGAAGGGGGAUGAUUGAGGGUAUGGGGAGGUGUGACUCCGGACACUCAGGGAAAAAUAAAUUCAACUGACCUUUGAGCAGAAGUUCUUAACCUUAAAGAUCCCCGACCCUUGGACCUGCCUUGAAGCAAUGAACAUGUGCUCCAGACCAACAGGCAUCGCGCUCACAUCCAGCCUGCAUAUGAUUUCAGGCAUUUCACAGACCCUGCGGCCCACCUACAGGCCUGCUCAGUGGUCCGUGGGUUCCAAGUCAAGAAGGAUGUGCUUCCAAAUGGAGCAUUUGCCAGUCCUGUGACCUGGGGUCCAUCACUUACCACCCCACCCUCCCAGGCCUCAAUUUCCUUAUCUGUAAAUUGAGGGCUAUGAGGUGGAGGUGAAGAGUGCCAGGAAACCAACAAUUGUGUGAGUCAUCUCGUGCAGGUAUUUUACACACCACAAAUACUCUACGCUGUUAGUGGGUAGAAUUAUCCCCCUUUUGCAAAUAGGGAAAUGGAGACUCAGUUCAAGAAACUUGCCCAAAUGUACGCACGAGUAAAUGAAGGAGCUAGACAGCACCCAGGUCUGCCUGACUCUAAAUUCCGGGCUCUGUCCUGUAGACUGUGCUGCCUACAGGGUAGAACAUUAUUGCUGCCUGUCUGCCCACCCCUGGCACGGUGAAUGCGCUAAUGUACGUGAAAACCAUUUGGAAACUGGACAGCACUUAUGCUAAUACAAGGUACCACCUUGGUCUCAUCAUUAUUGAUCACCCGUAUCUCAAAAUCCCUUCCUUGGCAUCUGUUAUGUUCCUUCCCCUAACCUCAGGCCACUUAUUCCUUGCUUCUGUCACCUGCUCCUCCUUUUCCUCCUGUCUCCUGAGGGUAUGUCCCCACCUCUUGCUUCCUGUUCUUUACUCUCGAAAUCUCCUCAUCCUACAACUUCAGCUUUGACCUCCAAGCAGGUGACUCUCAAAUCUCUUCUCCAGCCCAGAGCCUUAUUUCAACCACCAGCUGCAAGCGUUAUCACUUUAAAUCGCUGGUCUCAGAUUUUGCUGUGCAUCAGGCUCACCUGGAGCGUUUGUUAAAACACAGAUUGCUGGGUUGCACUCCCACAGCUUCUUAUUCAGUAGGCCUGGGGUGGGGCCAAAGAAUAUGUUUUUACAGUAUUAAACAAGGUACUUUUUUUUUAACAGCAUUAUACAAAGUAUAAUUACAUACAAUAAACUGCACAUAUUUAAAGUAAACAAUUCGAUAAGUUUUGACAAUUGAAUACAUUCAUGAAACCAGCACCACAAUCAAGGUGAUGAAUAUAUCCAUACCCCCAAAAGUCUCCUUGUUACCCUUUAUAAUCUCUCUUAUCCUUCCCUCAACCUCCACCCCCAUCCCCAGGCCUCUUUUAACCUGUUUGUGUCACUACAGGUUACUUUGCAUUUUCUAGAAUUUUAUGUAAAUGGAAUAAUAAAAUAUGUACCCUUUAUUGUUUUUGGCUUUUUCACUCAGCAUAGUUAUUUUGCGAUGCAUCCAUGUUGGGGCAUAUUAUCAAUAGUUCACUCAUUUUGUUUCUCCAUUUACUGGUGGAUGGACAUUUGAGUUUCCAAGUUGGGGCUCCCAAGAGGAUUUGUGUAAAAACCUGUGUGCUUUAACUUAUCUUGAAAGUGGAACGUCUGGGUCAUGUGGUAAGUGUAUCUUUAACUUUUUAAGGAACUGCCAGACUGUU